UAUAGCCCCCCACCCCUGUUCAAUGUUUAGUCAGUUCAGUGUGGAAGGCAAGUGUUGCAGCUAGCUAUCUAGCUCGUGAGCUCAUCUCCAUGUUUUGCUUGAAUUAUUAUAGCAGUAAGAUAUUAUGCCUUUUGCAAAGUCUAACAGGAAAGGGUCACGGAUCGUUCGCAAAACUCUCAGAAACGGUUAUACAAGAAGUGUUUUCAAGUCAUUUCAGCCGGUGAUAAGCAAUUCUUCUGCAAGCAUAACUACCAUCGAAGAAACAAAUAAUACAAGUGCUAUUGAGGAACCUUUAGUGCAAACUGAACAAUUUGAUAUUGAAGAACAUGAUAACGUACAGUUUUUGCUGAGUGGGGAUAUAGUUAAAAAAAAAAGAUGUGGCGGUUAUGAAAGAAAAAGAAUUACAUUCCUGGAGUUCUGUCACUUCUAACAUUUGUGAAAAUUAUGCUGAAAAAUUCAACCUUUUGCUUCUUCAAAAGUGUACGGUAUGUGAUUCGUCCUUUGAGGAAGGGCUUGUUUGGUGCGAAGACUGUGGUCCACUUGCGACAUAUUGCCAGGGUUGUACAGACGUUUCCCAUAAGAACAUUGCAUUUCAUAAUGCAAUUACUUUAAAGCCAAACUUUGACAUGAUGACAUGUACAUUUCACAACACAUUACACGAUGCUCACUGUUAUUCCUGUUCAAACAAAUAUUUUCGAGUAAUAACAAUUGUUUCUGAAAAAGGUAAUAUAUAGAUGUGACUAUGAUGUGAGUGCUCUAUUUGUACAGUUAGCAGUUGGAUAAGCCCUUAUAUUUCAUCUCCAUCCGCGUGAAGUCUGGUUCUGCACAUGUGAAUCUGAAUUUUCGAAGUUGUUAAAGUAUGAUUUAUGGGCAUCAACACCUACUUAACCUUCUACUGCAAUCUCAAUAAAAUUGCUGGACCUAUUUGUUGCAUUGCAAAUGGAGGGUAAAAUUUCUUUCACUUCAUUAAUUGAUGGAAUGUCAUGGAAAACUGGUAUGCAUAACCAAACUCUGAAACGCGUAUUAACACGUUUUAUGCAAACAGACUCCAUUGACCAAUACCUUCAGUUCCAGAGACAGUUGAGGGAUCUAUGGUUUUCAGACUUGAUAGCAAAAAUACCCAACCAAUGUCCAGCAUGUCCAAUAGUAUGGCAGCUUGUAAUUUAUGGAUAUUUUUGUAUUUCUUUUUUAUAUUUUUGUUGUAAUGCUUUUAGGAUUCUGGGAGUGUUUUCUAUUGCAUGGAUGCUACUUUUGGACUUGUUUUAAAAAGCUCUGCAUCAAAAUCAAAGAAUACCUCAAACAAUGACAAAAAUCAUUUUAUUGAAGAUGACGAAGUUGACACAUUCAUGUCUAGCUAUGAUGACAAAGCUGUGGAAAAUAAGGUGAGAUACACUUCAUCACCCUAAUUUAAUUCAAAACUUACUCGUUGUAAUAAAGUCUGAAAUCACCUUUGAAGCAGGGAACCGUGUCCGUUCAAAAAGAAAAAGUUCAAAGUUUAGUGUGACAGGUGUUUUUGGUGUAUCUUGUCGGCAUGAAAUUCCAAAGCUCUUUCUUAAAAUGUGACAUAUUGCAUAAACUUUCUAUUAAUGUAAACUAUGCACAAUAAUAUUUCUUGGACAAAGUAAUUUUCAGUCUGCGAUGUUGUUUAUUAUAGAAUAUUCAAUGAUAUUUUCUUUUCAUAUGAUUAGAAUUGGUUAUGCGGUAUUAAUGAUGAAUAAAAUCCUAGCUGAAGCGUUGGGUAAAGAUAUUGACGUCCAUAUUAUGUAUGAUAUUGCCAGUCUGUUGAAGAAACAUUUAACUGUAGGUUAUUCGUUUUCUAUAUGCAUUCUGGGUUAGCUUGAAACAUAUAUGUUGAACAGUAUAUAUUGAUCUAUAUUUUAGAAAAGAGGAACGUUAAGUAAAUACCCCAAAUUCAAAUUAGGGAUACCAGUAUUUCACGCACAUGUGAACAUUAGUUCUUGUCAGGUUUGUUUCUUUUUUAUUAUUGUUGUGUUUGUUGUUGUUGAUAUUGUUGUUGUUGUUCUUAAUAUUUUGGCAGAAUUUUUGUAAUAGUAACCGUUUUCCACAUUUUCAUUGUUAGGUACAAAAUUCAAUCCGUAGAAUGGAAGGUUUUGGUUUAAUGGAUGGGGAACUGAUGGAAAGACUCUGGUCCUAUUGGAGAUCGUUUUCAAAAAUCACGAAAGAAAUGACUUCAGCUUACCGUGUUGACUUUUUG